rnacentral:rRNA from 1 species
UACAGAGGUCUCAAGCGUUGUUCGGAUUCAUUGGGCGUAAAGGGUGCGUAGGUGGCGUGGUAAGUCUGGUGUGAAAUCCCGGGGCUCAACCCCGGAACUGCACUGGAUACUGCCAUGCUUGAGUACUGGAGAGGAGAUUGGAAUUUACGGUGUAGCAGUGAAAUGCGUAGAUAUCGUAAGGAAGACCUGUGGCGAAGGCGAAUCUCUGGACAGUUACUGACACUGAGGCACGAAGGCCAGGGGAGCAAACGGG